rnacentral:misc_RNA from 1 species
GAUGAAGAACGUAGCGAAAUGCGAUAAGUAAUGUGAAUUGCAGAAUUCAGUGAAUCAUCGAAUCUUUGAACGCACAUUGCGCCCGCCAGUAUUCUGGCGGGCAUGCCUGUUCGAGCGUCAUUUCAACCAUCAAGCCCAGCUUGCGUUGGGGUCCUGCGGCUGCCCGCAGGCCCUGAAAACCAGUGGCGGGCUCGCUAGUCACACCGAGCGCAGUAAUACAUCUCGCUUUGGGCGUGCGGCGGGUUCUUGCCGUUAAACACCCCCUUUUUACCAAGGUUGACCUCGGAUCAGGUAGGAAUACCCGCUGAACUUAAGCAUAUCAAUAAGCGGAGGA